rnacentral:rRNA from 1 species
GACGAACGCUGGCGGCGUGCUUAACACAUGCAAGUCGAGCGGUAAGGCCCUUUCGGGGGUACACGAGCGGCGAACGGGUGAGUAACACGUGGGUGACCUGCCCUUAGCUCUGGGAUAAGCCUGGGAAACUGGGUCUAAUACCGGAUAUGACUCCAUGACGCAUGUUGUGGGGUGGAAAGCCUUGUGCGGCUAGGGAUGGGCCUGCGGCCUAUCAGCUUGUUGGUGGGGUGAUGGCCUACCAAGGCGACGACGGGUAGCCGGCCUGAGGGGGCGACCGGCCACACUGGGACUGAGACACGGCCCAGACUCCUACGGGAGGCAGCAGUGGGGAAUCUUGCGCAAUGGGCGAAAGCCUGACGCAGCGACGCCGCGUGGGGAUGACGGCCUCGGUGUAAC